CCCCUAGAUGUUCUGGGCCGCACGCGCGCUACACUGAACAGUUCAACAAGUCUUAACCUUGGCCGAUAGGUCUGGGUAAUCUUUGAACGCUGUUCGUGAUUGGGAUAGACCUUUGCAAUUAUGGGUCUUCAACGAGGAAUUCCUAGUAAACGCAAGUCAUCAGCUUGCAUUGAUUACGUCCCUGCCCUUUGUACACACCGCCCGUCGCACCUACCGAUUGAAUGGUCCGGUGAAGCGCUCGGACCGCGGCCUCUUGACGGUUCGCUGUCGAUUGGCUGUGGGAAGUUCGUUAAACCUUAUCAUUUAGAGGAAGGAGAAGUCGUANCA
rnacentral:rRNA from 1 species